AAACUUUGGAGAGAGAGUCAAAGAGACCGCGAAACCGUUAGGAGGGAAGCGAAUGCAGCCAGAGCGGCUUCGUUCAGGUUCAGGAGGCGAUGUGCCUGUUCGCUCGUGCGUCGUUYUGAACCCGGUGGGUAGGCGCUGGGCGGAGUGGGUGCAUCUCUUCAGCAAUCCAGUUUCGUAGCCAGCCAACGUCGGUCGGCCGUCGCCCAGCAGGGCGGCGGGGAAGGUUUCUUUCCGUGCCUCCUUGUGGGGCUUUGGGAAGGGCUUAUAGCCACGCCGUUCGGAAGUGGACGGGCGACCGAGGACUGUCGCAACCCCUUUGCGCAGGCACUGCGGGCCCCUUGUGGGCCGGAUCGCCCCUGCUCGUCCGGGAAGCGCGGAGGCCGACUGCUUGCAGUGUUCUGUGACGCUUGUCAGUUCGGGCGGGGGAUCGGUGCGACUGCAGUGAUGUCGUUGGCACGGAGGA
rnacentral:rRNA from 1 species